rnacentral:sRNA from 1 species
UUAAACUGAUCAAAAAUCACUUAGAUGAUAAAUUUUGUACGUAUUUAUACAUAUAGUCUAAAAACUAUUCUUAAAAUAUUUCCUUAGUGUGUGUGUGUGUGUGUGUGUGUGUGUAGGCUCUCAGCAAAAUUAAG